rnacentral:rRNA from 1 species
ACAUUCAUACAACAUUGCGUUAAUGCACUAGAUCCCAUUAGAACUCCACAAUUAAGCGCACUCAUGCUAGAGUAGUACUGAGAUGGGUGACCGCCCAGGAAGUCCUAGUGUUUUACAUGCC